UCUGCUCCAGAUGUUGCAGGAGCACAUGAGCCCAUCAUGCAGGAAGGAGCUGAGGCAGCAUCCAGGAACCUGUAAGCAAGAAGUAUUAAAAACACUCCAAACUCCAAGAGAAUCAUUAGAUUUUUGGUGAAUGUGAGCCAUGAAUUUAUGUUCUAUUCAUGGCUGUUAGACAAUGGAGAGGCCAACGCAUGGUGACUUAUAUUUCAAGAAUGUCUGCAUCCAGAUCUUCAUGAAGAUUUAUUCAAGACAACUUGUACUACACAUCAAGAAAGUCAUCUGGAAAAAUUCAGAAACAAUUCUGGAAGGAAAUAAGAGAACUAAUGUGUAGAAUAACCCAAUCUCUGGAAUUUGUGGACUGAAGAAAAUAGUAAAUAUGAUUCUUAGCUUUAAAUGAAUUGUGGAAAGUGGUAAGUACAUGUAUUUCAGAUUUAUAAUCAAGAAAAUGUGCCCAGAACUUUAUUGGUACCCAAGCUUCUUUUUGAUUUGAUAUGAGUAAUAAUACCACAAUUGAUUAUAAAUCUCAACUUUAAAAAAUU